GGAUGAACGCUAGCUACAGGCUUAACACAUGCAAGUCGAGGGGCAGCAUUUUAGUUUGCUUGCAAACUGAAGAUGGCGACCGGCGCACGGGUGAGUAACACGUAUCCAACCUGCCGAUAACUCCGGGAUAGCCUUUCGAAAGAAAGAUUAAUACCGGAUAGCAUACGAAUAUCGCAUGAUAUUUUUAUUAAAGAAUUUCGGUUAUCGAUGGGGAUGCGUUCCAUUAGUUUGUUGGCGGGGUAACGGCCCACCAAGACUACGAUGGAUAGGGGUUCUGAGAGGAAGGUCCCCCACAUUGGAACUGAGACACGGUCCAAACUCCUACGGGAGGCAGCAGUGAGGAAUAUUGGUCAAUGGGCGAGAGCCUGAACCAGCCAAGUAGCGUGAAGGAUGAAGGCUCUAUGGGUCGUAAACUUCUUUUAUAUGGGAAUAAAGUUUUCCACGUGUGGAAUUUUGUAUGUACCAUAUGAAUAAGGAUCGGCUAACUCCGUGCCAGCAGCCGCGGUAAUACGGAGGAUCCGAGCGUUAUCCGGAUUUAUUGGGUUUAAAGGGAGCGUAGGUGGAUUGUUAAGUCAGUUGUGAAAGUUUGCGGCUCAACCGUAAAAUUGCAGUUGAAACUGGCAGUCUUGAGUACAGUAGAGGUGGGCGGAAUUCGUGGUGUAGCGGUGAAAUGCUUAGAUAUCACGAAGAACUCCGAUUGCGAAGGCAGCUCACUAGACUGUCACUGACACUGAUGCUCGAAAGUGUGGGUAUCAAACAGGAUUAGAUACCCUGGUAGUCCACACAGUAAACGAUGAAUACUCGCUGUUUGCGAUAUACAGUAAGCGGCCAAGCGAAAGCAUUAAGUAUUCCACCUGGGGAGUACGCCGGCAACGGUGAAACUCAAAGGAAUUGACGGGGGCCCGCACAAGCGGAGGAACAUGUGGUUUAAUUCGAUGAUACGCGAGGAACCUUACCCGGGCUUAAAUUGCAACAGAAUAUAUUGGAAACAGUAUAGCCGUAAGGCUGUUGUGAAGGUGCUGCAUGGUUGUCGUCAGCUCGUGCCGUGAGGUGUCGGCUUAAGUGCCAUAACGAGCGCAACCCUUAUCUUUAGUUACUAACAGGUUAUGCUGAGGACUCUAGAGAGACUGCCGUCGUAAGAUGUGAGGAAGGUGGGGAUGACGUCAAAUCAGCACGGCCCUUACGUCCGGGGCUACACACGUGUUACAAUGGGGGGUACAGAAGGCGGCUACCUGGUGACAGGAUGCUAAUCCCAAAAACCUCUCUCAGUUCGGAUCGAAGUCUGCAACCCGACUUCGUGAAGCUGGAUUCGCUAGUAAUCGAGCAUCAGCCAUGGCGCGGUGAAUACGUUCCCGGGCCUUGUACACACCGCCCGUCAAGCCAUGA
rnacentral:rRNA from 1 species